rfam:Branchiostoma floridae genomic scaffold BRAFLscaffold_226, whole genome shotgun sequence.
CUUCUCGGGCCAGCUGAGGACAGAUGAAGUGGACAUGUGCGUCCAGCGCCCCAGCGGUCAGGAUGAGACCCUCUCCUGCUAUGGCCUCUGUGGUCGCCCCACAUAUUAGGUUCUGUGGAGCAAAAUAUUACCACAAUAGAGCAAAUCAUCCAAACUUGUUUUUAAUUUAUGAUAUCUGAAGG